rnacentral:rRNA from 1 species
AUUGAACGCUGGCGGCAUGCCUUACACAUGCAAGUCGAACGGCAGCACGGGGGCAACCCUGGUGGCGAGUGGCGAACGGGUGAGUAAUGCAUCGGAACGUGCCCAGUAGUGGGGGAUAACCCGGCGAAAGCCGGGCUAAUACCGCAUACGACCCAAGGGUGAAAGCGGGGGACCGUAAGGCCUCGCGCUAUUGGAGCGGCCGAUGUCUGAUUAGCUAGUUGGUGAGGUAAAGGCCCACCAAGGCGACGAUCUGUAGCGGGUCUGAGAGGAUGAUCCGCCACACUGGAACUGAGACACGGUCCAGACUCCUACGGGAGGCACCAGUGGGGAAUUUUGGACAAUGGGCGCAAGCCUGAUCCAGCCAUGCCGCGUGCGGGAAGAAGGCCUUCGGGUUGUAAACCGCUUUUGGCAGGAACGAAACGGCGCAAGCCAAUACCUUGCGCUAAUGACGGUACCUGCAGAAUAAGCACCGGCUAACUACGUGCCAGCCGCCGCUGUAACAC